rnacentral:rRNA from 1 species
CGGGGUGGAGUAAUGUCUGGGAAACUGCCUGAUGGAGGGGGGUAACUGCUGGAAACGGUAGCUAAUACCGCAUAACGUCGCAAGACCAAAGAGGGGGACCUUCGGGCCUCUUGCCAUCGGAUGUGCCCAGAUAGGAUUAGCUAGUAGGUGGGGUAACGGCUCACCUAGGCGACGAUCCCUAGCUGGUCUGAGAGGAUGACCAGCCACACUGGAACUGAGACACGGUCCAG